ACCCUUGUGGAGGAGGACGCCGAAGGUGGGGCUAAUGACUGGGGUGAAGUCGUAACAAGGUAGCCGUACCGGAAGGUGCGGCUGGAUCACCUCCUAACAGGGAGACAACAAAAUGUUUAAUAUUAUUAUUUUGUCACCUUAGGUCGAUCGGUAUCUCACGUUUUUAAUUUAUUAAGAAUUUCAUUUCCUAAGUUUUUCUAGGUCACACCCAUAUUUUUCCUGGGCCAUUAGCUCAGGUGGUUAGAGCGCACCCCUGAUAAGGGUGAGGUCCCUGGUUCAAGUCCAGGAUGGCCCAUAUCUCUAUGUUGGGGGUAUAGCUCAGUUGGUAGAGCGCCUGCUUUGCAAGCAGGAUGUCAGCGGUUCGAGUCCGCUUACCUCCACUGAUUACCACCUCUUCCAUAAACGGUAGAAAGGAAAUUUUUUGAGUUGUGACCAAAUUCUGAAAGAAUCUAGCUUCCUAAUGCAAUCAUUAAGAUGCUGGACUCAUUGAAUUAAUUUCAUUGUUUUCAGAGAACCUUGACAACUGCAUAGAUUAUUUUUAAAGACAAUAAGCAUCUUUAAUGAUGCAGAUUUAUUAUUUGUGCGAAUGCAUUAAUAACAAUUCUAUUAAGCUGAUGCUUCAAUUUUGAAGUUAUUGGUCAAGCUACAAAGGGCUCACGGAGGAUACCUAGGCACACA
rnacentral:misc_RNA from 1 species